AUACAUAGUCAAACGAAGCGAACCGGGGGAACUGAAACAUCUCAGUACCCCGAGGAAAAGAAAUCAACCGAGAUUCCCCUAGUAGCGGCGAGCGAACGGGGAGCAGCCCAGAGUCUUAAUCAGCAUUAGUAUCAGGAGAACGGUCUGGAAAGUCCGGCAGUAAAGGGUGAUAGCCCCGUAUCUGAAGAUAUUAGUGUUGUGAACUCGACGAGUAGGGCGGGACACGUGUUAUCCUGUCUGAAUAUGGGGGGACCAUCCUCCAAGGCUAAAUACUCCUGAUUGACCGAUAGUGAACCAGUACCGUGAGGGAAAGGCGAAAAGAACCCCGGCGAGGGGAGUGAAAUAGAACCUGAAACCGUGUACGUACAAGCAGUGGGAGCCUUGAUUUAUCAGGGUGACUGCGUACCUUUUGUAUAAUGGGUCAGCGACUUAUAUUCUGUAGCAAGGUUAACCGUAUAGGGGAGCCGUAGGGAAACCGAGUCUUAACUGGGCGAAUGAGUUGCAGGGUAUAGACCCGAAACCCGGUGAUCUAGCCAUGGGCAGGUUGAAGGUUGGGUAACACUAACUGGAGGACCGAACCGACUAAUGUUGAAAAAUUAGCGGAUGACUUGUGGCUGGGGGUGAAAGGCCAAUCAAACCGGGAGAUAGCUGGUUCUCCCCGAAAGCUAUUUAGGUAGCGCCUCGUGAACUCAUCUUCGGGGGUAGAGCACUGUUUCGACUAGGGGGUCAUCCCGACUUACCAACUCGAUGCAAACUACGAAUACCGAAGAAUGUUAUCACGGGAGACACACGGCGGGUGCUAACGUUCGUCGUGAAGAGGGAAACAACCCAGACCGCCAGCUAAGGUCCCAAAGUCAUAGUUAAGUGGGAAACGAAGUGGGAAGGCUCAGACAGCCAGGAUGUUGGCUUAGAAGCAGCCAUCAUUUAAAGAAAGCGUAAUAGCUCACUGGUCGAGUCGGCCUGCGCGGAAGAUGUAACGGGGCUAAACUAUGCACCGAAGCUGCGGCAGCGAUAUGUAAAUAUUGUUGGGUAGGGGAGCGUUCUGUAAGCCUGUGAAGGUGUACUGUGAGGUAUGCUGGAGGUAUCAGAAGUGCGAAUGCUGACAUAAGUAACGAUAAUGCGGGUGAAAAACCCGCACGCCGGAAGACCAAGGGUUCCUGUCCAACGUUAAUCGGGGCAGGGUGAGUCGACCCCUAAGGCGAGGCAGAAAUGCGUAGUCGAUGGGAAACGGGUUAAUAUUCCCGUACUGGUGAUAAUUGCGAUGGGGGGACGGAGAAGGCUAGGCUGGCCGGGCGACGGUUGUCCCGGUUUAAGGAUGUAGGCAGGUGAAUUAGGCAAAUCCGGUUCACUAUAUGCUGAGGUCUGAUGAC
rnacentral:rRNA from 1 species